rnacentral:rRNA from 1 species
GAUGAACGCUAGCGGCAGGCUUAACACAUGCAAGCCGAGGGGCAGCGCGGGAUAGCAAUAUCCUGGCGGCGACCGGCGGAAGGGUGCGUAACGCGUGAGCGACAUGCCCGUUGCCCGGGGACAACCGGUGGAAACGCCGACUAAUCCCCGAUGGGAUACGAUGCUUCAUGGCAUUGUAUUGAAAGUUACGGCGGCGACGGAUUGGCUCGCGUCCGAUUAGCUGGUUGGCGGGGUAACGGCCCACCAAGGCUGCGAUCGGUAGGGGUUCUGAGAGGAAGGCCCCCCACAAUGGGACUGAGACACGGCCCAUACUCCUACGGGAGGCAGCAGUGAGGAAUAUUGGUCAAUGGGCGGAAGCCUGAACCAGCCAUGCCGCGUGCGGGAAGGAGGCCCUAUGGGCUGUGAACCGCUUUUGCCUGGGGGCAAUAAGGGCGUCGCGCACGUCCGAUGAGAGUACCAGGCGAAUAAGCAUCGGCCAACUCCGUG